UCGCCACCGUGGCCGUGCUGUGCCUGCUCAUCGCCGGCCGUGCGGACGGCCAGGACGAGUACAUCCCUGCUGCCGCGGGGAGCCAAGAGGUGGAGCCGCAGCCGGGGCUGCUGCCGGGGGCCUCCCUGGCCAAGGCGUUCACAGGCGGCUACUUCCCGCAGCAGCCCAAGGCCGAGCCAGAGCCGGAGCAGACGACCACGGAACCGGAGCCGGAGCCGGAGCAGACGACCAGGGAACCGGAGCCGGUCACGCCCACGCGCGACCAGGGCGAUUUCUACCGCACCGGCGUGACCCCGACCGCGCCGGAGCCGCCGGCGAUGCUAACCUCCCCGGAGACGUGGGAGAAGCCAUGGACGCCAUUUGUACCGCAGACGUCGGCGUUUGUUCCCAAGACGCCGGCGUAUGUGCCCAAGACGCCAUAAUUACCAUGGGCCUUAAAAUUAUUCCCUCCAUCAUGGUUUAAAAGCGCGUGUUUGAAAAUUCUCUCGAACCUAUGUGGUUAUUGAUUGACUGUGAGAUGGACAGAAAAAUAGCAUUCACAAUCGCAUGCAUAUAAAAGUAGUACUACAACGGAAUACUAAUUAGCUGCUAAGAGUAAAUGCAAUGCGCCUUAAACCUUGUUUAUUAUGGAAAUGAACGUAAAUUUAACCGUGCCUUCUAAACUGUGACGAAGGAAAUACAGACGAUGUAUCGAGGCUGAUGGGUCUUUUAAACCCGAACGAAAAUAGUAUUUAAUAGGUCUAAUCAUAGAAUAUACAUGUGCAUCAUCAUCACAUCAGUACCAAUAGUAACAUAAAACAUGACCUACAAAGAUAGACGAUCAUGAGGCAACACGAUAGAGAGAUGGAACUACUCCUCCGGUUUAGCAACAAUGAAACCGAGAAAGAUAAAUCUCCCAUCACGUCCAUGGCGGAGCACGAAGAUCAUCAUGUCUUCAAUAUCUAUGUCGUACAUACGACUACUUUGCUCCACCCAUUAAGAACUAUGCUUCCAUCUCCUUGUCACGAAUACGAGUAUGAAGUCGAACCGAGAUGUUAACACUAGGAUGGAACACAAUGGUUAUAGCUCUUCAUUUGCACUCAUCUCCUUAGGCACAGUAUUCACUCUGUAAUAAGCUAUCAAAAUAUUUGUAAAUAAGGUCACUUAAAUAUAGCAUCCGGAUGAAAUGUGAUUAUUUAAAUCUAGCUGUAAAUAUGGUUACUUAAAAUUAAUUGCUGGAUAUUUGCCAGAAUCAUUACACGGAUGAGUUAUUGUAUAUCACUAGCAAAAAGACCCGUGCGUUGCAACGGGAGAAAAAAAUCACCAUCUUCAAUGGCAAUGACCAUAUUAUGUUCAUAUCUCAUCGCAUGAUUUCAAAAACUUGUUCACAAAUGUAAGAAAAUAUUUCUUUUAUUUUAUUUUAUUCACAAUUCACAAGUUGAAACAAUGUUCAUAUUUUAAAAAAAAUAUCAUGGUUAUCAAAAAACUUGGUAACUCAAAGAAUUAUUCUGAAUUUCAAGAAACAUUUUAAAAAAUAUAGUAUAAUAUUCCGAUCCAUCAUCACAAUUAAUUCUUCAAAAUUCACUCAGGUAUAUAAUCUGAAAGACUCAGAAGCAUUACUAUUGAACGCCAUACAUUCGAUCUUUCGUGAACAUUUUUACAAAUUUGGGAAUAUUUUUAAAAUCAAGAACAUUCUUUACUAUUUAUAAACAUUUUUUUAAAAUUACAAAUAAUAUUUUAUAUUACAAACUGUUUUCAAGUAUUUUCUUGGGAAUUGGCGAAUAAUUCAUUUUUUGAAUUAUCCAACAUUUUUUUAAUUGCAUUAAAGAAAUUGCUAAAAAUGAUGGACUUUUUUUAUUCACGAAUGUUUUCUCCAAAAUUACGAAUUUUUUAAUAUGCAAUUUUUUUUACAAAAAUCCUGAACAAUUUUUUGAAUUCGCAAACAUUUUAUAUUUUAUCAAACAUUUAUGUAAAUAUUUAUUUUUUAAUUUCGAAAGUUUUUGUUGAUUUAUUUGAAAUAUAAAAAAUAAAAAGUAACAGAUAAAUAUUAAUUAAAAAACUAAAAAAAAGGCACCUGCCCAUGGGCUGGCCCAAAUGGGCGUGGUGCUUAUUUUCCAACGAGCAGAGCGUAGUAUAGCUGGUCCCUAUGCUUGGGCCGGCCCAUGCGAGAAUUACCUGCAAAACGUUUUUUAUAACUUAUAGGUGGCAUUGAUGGGUAAUUUUAAAGAAUUUUAGAGGCAAUUUUAAUAACGUACCACAGAAGCAAUAGGUGCUUUAUUAAUAGGGAUAGAUUGCUCAAACGUACUUAGAGGUGACGAUUAGGUUUUCCACCUAGUUCGAGGGAUAUCUCCACACGUACUUCGAACUGAUAUAUUUUGACAACUUCUUUCCAAAUACGUCAUGUGAAAAAUGUCUUAUCUUUUUAGUUCUAGACCCUGCAUACUCGAAAACAAAAGCUCUCUCAUGUCUUAGAUCUAUUUAUAACUUUACUCAUAUGCACUAUAACCCGUAGCAAUUACCUUUGUUUACACGUAUGAGGAAUUAGCAUGUGUGUUUGUCCACGUUCUUCUUAUCUUCUUCCUUUGGCAGUUAGGCCAUCCAUUAUUGUUGGCAAUAACAUGGUUUAGGACAUCCAUUUCAAUGUGGUUGGUGUUAGACAUUGUAUUACGUAUACACAUGGUAUAUGUAUAAACCAUGUGUAUUACGAUUGUAGGCAUGCGUGUGUGGUUUAAACUAGGGAUAUCUUGUUAGGGUCUAUCUCUUGUGUUUAACCUUGUAGAUAGAGAUAGAUCCUAACUCCUUGUUGUAAUCUCCUAGGUCUUGUGCCUUUAUUAACACGCACGUGUCCCUGCUAAACGCAUACGCUUCAGGCCUUUCUAUUCUCACAUGGUAUCAGAGCCUAUCUCGUUGCAAAACGGUUUGAACAAUGUUAUGGUCUUGAUUAUGAGGAUACUUUAAAUCCCGUUGUUAAAGCCGCCACCAUCAGAUUGGUUCUGUCUAUAGCUGUCUCUAGGAAUUGGUGUAUGCGACAGUUGGACGUUAAGAACGCGUUUUUUGCAUGGUGUUCUGGAAGAGAAUGUUUUUAUGCGACAGCCACCUGGGUAUACAGAUUCAAGGUUUCCGCACUUGGUCUGUAAACUGGAUAAAGCUCUGUAUGGUCUCAAACAGGCUCCCCGUGCAUGGUACUCUCGCUUGUCUUUCAAGCUUCAGUCUCUUGGUUUUCAACCCUCCAAGAGUGAUACCUCACUGUUUUUUUAUUCUCGGAGAGGGGUGACUAUCUUUAUGCUCAUAUAUGUGGAUGACAUUAUUGUUACUAGUUCCUCUGUACAAGCAGUUGAAGCCCUCCUCAGUGAUCUUCGCAUGGACUUUGCACUCAAAGAUCUUGGAUCCCUCCAUUAUUUUCUUGGUAUUGAGGUAACUUCUACUGAUAAUGGUAUUGCUUUAUCUCAAGGGAAAUAUUUGCUUGAUUUGCUUCAACGAGUCAAUAUGAAUGGUUGCAAACCUGUCAGUACUCCUUUGUCUACUUCUGAGAAGUUGUCUUUGUUUGAUGGACAUCCUCUUGGAGAUGGAGAUUCUACCAACUAUCGCAGUGUUGUUGGUGCUUUGCAAUACUUAACUCUUACUAGACCAGAUAUUUGUUGUUCGGUCAACAAGGUAUGUCAAUUCUUGCAUGCUCCAACCUCUGUUCACUGGACGGCAGUCAAACGUGUACUUCGUUAUUUACAAGGCACUAUCACCCAUGGUCUGCGUAUAUCUAAGUCUCAUUCCAUGUUAGUCAGCGCAUUCUCUGAUGCAGAUUGGGCUGGUUGCCCUGAUGACAGAAAGUCUACUGGUGGUUUUGCUGUUUUUGUUGGUAGUAAUCUUGUGUCUUGGACUGCACGAAAGCAACCUACAGUUUCUCGCUCCAGCACAGAGGCUGAGUACAAAGCACUUGCUAAUGCUACUGCCGAGGUAAUAUGGGUAUAGAACCUUUUGACUGAGCUGGGUAUUCCUCAUCCUAAGUCUUUCUCCCUAUGGUGUGAUAAUUUAGGAGCUACAUACUUAUCUGCAAAUCCUAUUUUUCAUGCACGGACAAAGCAUAUUGAAAUUGAUUAUCACUUUGUCCGUGAGAGAGUGGCUCAGAAACUGCUACACAUACGGUUUAUUCCCACUGGUGAUCAAUUGGCUGAUGGCUUUACUAAACCUCUUACUCUUCGCCAGAUGGAAGUUUUUCGUCGCAAUCUCAACUUGGACAAGUUGUGAUUGAGGGGGAGUGUUAGACAUUGUAUUACGUAUACACAUGGUAUAUGUAUAAACCAUGUGUAUUACGAUUGUAGGCAUGCGUGUGUGGUUUAAACUAGGGAUAUCUUGUUAGGGUCUACCUCUUGUGUUUAACCUUGUAGAUAGAGAUAGAUCCUAACUCCUUGUUGUAAUCUUCUAGGUCUUGUGCCUUUAUUAACACGCACGCGUCCCUGCUAAACGCAUACACUUCAAGCCUUUCUAUUCUCACAGUUGGUUCGAAAAAUAGCAGUGGCCACCAAUCCAUGCCGAAAUUAGCAUCUCUAUCCCGGUACAUAAACACGUACGCGCCAGCAUGCAAAAAAUUCUAAACCACCCACUUCCACGUUAACCGACCAUGCACGCCGAUCAGCUAGUACCGGCGGUCGUCGCCGUCGUGGCCGUGUUGUGCCUGCUCAUCGCCGGCCGCGCGGAUGGCCAGGACGAGUACGUCCCUGCUACCGCGGGGAGCCAAGAGGUGGAGCCGCAGCCGGGGCUGCUGCCGGGGGCCUCCCUGGCCAAGGCGUUCACAGGCGGCUACUUCCCGCAGCAGCCCAAGGCCGAGCCGGAGCCGGAGCAGACGACCACGGAACCGGAGCCGGAGCCGGAGCAGACGACCAGGGAACCGGAGCCGGUCACGCCCACGCGCGACCAGGGCGAUUUCUACCGCACCGGCGUGACCCCGACCGCGCCGGAGCCGCCGGCGAUGCUAACCUCCCCAGAGACGUGGGAGAAGCCGUGGACGCCAUUUGUACCCAAGACGUCGGCGAUUGUUCCCAAGACGCCGACGUAUGUGCCCGAGACGCCGGCGUUUGUGCCCAAGACGCCAUAAUUACCAUGGGCCUUAAAAUUAUUCCCUCCAUCAUGGUUUAAAAGCGCGUGUUUGAAAAUUCUUUCGAACCUAUGUGGUUAUUGAUUGACUGUGAGAUGAGCUGAAAAAUAGCAUUCACAAUCAAAUGCAUAUAAAAGUAGUACAACGAAAUACUAAUUAGCUGCUAAGAGUAAAUUCAAUGCGCCUUAAACCUUGUUUAUUGUGAAAAUGCACGUAAAUUUAACCGUGCCUUCUAAACUGUGACGAAGGAAAUAUAAACGAUGUAUCGAGGCUGACGGGUCUUUUAAACCCGAAAGGAAGUAGUAUUUAAUAGGUCUGAUCGUAGAACAUAUAUGUGCAUCAUCAUCACAUCAGAACCAAUAGUAACAUAAAACAUGACCUACAAAGAUGGACGAUCAUGAGGCAACACGAUAGAGAGACAGAACUACUCAUCCUCCGGUUUAGCAACAAUGAAACCGAGAAAGAGAAAUCUCCCAUCACGUCCAUGGUGGAGCACGAAGAUCAUCAUGUCUUCAAUAUCUAUGUCGUACAUACGACUACUUUGCUCCACCCAUUAAAACCAAUAUUUCCAUCUCCUUGUCACGAAUACGAGUAUGAAGUCGAACCGAGAUGUUAACACUAGGAUGGAGCACAAUGGUUAUAGCUCUUCAUUUGCACUCAUCUCCUUAGGCACAGUAAGUUGUGGGAGUAUCUGGUGAGAGAACACAAUUUGAACACUUUAAGGAAUCUAGAUAAUUGCCGGAGUAUCUGAAGAUAAUGAGUAUGUUGUCAAUAUUGGCCUUGUUCAAACAGUAUUGCGGGGGCAUGUAGGAAUGAUCUCUCGGUCCAGCAUUGUAACCAUUCACGAGCCUUCAAAUUUGAUCAACAAAGCCGAUGGCAAACCUCAUCUCUUCCUAGCUUACUCAUCUUCCGUCAUUAACCUCCAUAUUUUCUAUAAAGUGUUUUGUUACAGUAUUCACUCUGUAAUAAGCUAUCAAAAUAUUUGUAAAUAAGAUCACUUAAAUAUAGCAUCCGGAUGAAAUGUGAUUAUAUAAAUCUAGCUGUAAAUAUGGUUACUUAAAAUUAAUUGCUGGAUAUUUGCCAGAAUCAUUACACGGAUGAGUUAUUGUAUAUCAUUGCUCAAACGUAGACGAUUAGGUUUUCCACCUAGUCCGAGGGGCAUCUCUACACGUACUUCGAACUGAUAUAUUUUGACAAAUUCUUUCCAAAUACGUCAUGUGAAAAAUGUCUUAUCUUUUUAGUUCCUGACCCUGCAUACUUGAAAACAAAAGCUCUCUCCUGUCUUAGAUCUAUUUAUAACUUUACUCAUAUGCACUAUAACCCGUAGCAAUUACCUUUGUUUACACGUAUGAGGAAUUAGCGAAACACACGUUCUUCAGUUAGGUCAUCCAUUAUUGUUGGCAAUAACAUGGUUUAGGACAUCCAUUUCAAUGUGGUUGGUUCGAAAAAUAGCAGUGGCCAUCAAUCCAUGCCGAAAUUAGCAUCUCUCUCCCGGUACAUAAACAGCGUACGCACCAGCAUGCAAAAAAUUCUAAACCACCCACUUCCACGUUAACCGACCAUGCACGCCGAUCAGCUAGUACCGGCGGUCGUCGCCGCCGUGGCCGUGUUGUGCCUGCUCAUCGCCGGCCGCGCGGACGGCCAGGACGAGUACGUCCCUGCUGCCGCGGGGAGCGAAGAGGCGGUGGAGCCGCAGCCGGGGACCGCCGCAGCCGGCGGCGAGGAGUACGUCCCGCAGCCGGGGUUGCUGCCGGGGGCCUCCCUAGCCAAGGCGUUCACCGGCGGCUACUUCCCGCAGCAGCCCAAGGCCGAGCCGGAGCCGGAGCAGACGACCACGGAACCGGAGCCGGAGCCGGAGCAGACGACCAGGGAACCGGAGCCGAUCACGCCCACGCGCGACCAGGGCGAUUUCUACCGCACCGGCGUGACGCCGACCGCGCCUGAGCCGCCUGCGAUGCUAACCUCGCCGGAGACGUGGGAGAAGCCGUGGACGCCAUUUGUACCCAAGACGCCGUCGUAUGUGCCCCAGACGCCGGCGUUUGUUCCCAAGACGCCGUCGUAUGUGCCCCAGACGCCGGCGUAU
rnacentral:lncRNA from 1 species